GUCCAGGGGUGGGAAUCGAACCCAUCCGGGCAGAUGCCAUGUCCACUAGGCUACCCUGGA
rnacentral:tRNA from 1 species